UUGUCAAUUGUGGGUCACCUAUAUUAUUUAGAUUGGUAGUUUAUGUCUUUAAACAUGAUAGAGCAAGCUGGGCUGAACUUUGUGUGACCAAGUGAAGAUUUAGAUUUUUCUUCCAAAAGAUUGGACCUGAAUUUUAUUUUGGAAGCAAACCUGGACUUUGCUUUUCAGCUGAAGUUAUUAAAUUUUAAAUUUGUUGGCAUUUGAUUACUUCUUCAUAGUGUGAAAAAUACUGGAUAUGGAACUUACAUAAAGAGGAUACAAAAUUGUCAGACAAGAUCAAUGCCCUGGAGGGAAGGGAAGAAUUCGUGGAUCACAAAACAGAGAAAGUCUAACCUAAAAUCAUCUCAAAUAUUAUGCAAUUAAAAUCCUAUGAUUCUAAGUUGAAAUUUAUAGCUGUACAUUGUUACGGAAGCAUAGGUUUAGCCUUUACAUUCGUAUAAUUCCUAAACUACUGUGUAUAUAAUAUAAUACAUAAUUCUCAUCAAUGAAAUGUGUGGGAAAUAAUUCAUUGAAACUACUGCAAUAUUUGUUUCUUUAUAUGGUA